rnacentral:rRNA from 1 species
AGAGUUUGAUCAUGGCUCAGAUUGAACGCUGGCGGCAUGCUUUACACAUGCAAGUCGAGCGGCAGCGCGGGGGCAACCCUGGCGGCGAGCGGCGAACGGGUGAGUAAUGCAUCGGAACGUGUCCCGUAGUGGGGGAUAACCCGGCGAAAGCCGGACUAAUACCGCAUAUGCUCUACGGAGGAAAGCGGGGGAUUCGCAAGAACCUCGCGCUAUGGGAGCGGCCGAUGUCCGAUUAGCUUGUUGGUGAGGUAAUGGCUUACCAAGGCGACGAUCGGUAGCUGGUCUGAGAGGAUGAUCAGCCACACUGGGACUGAGACACGGCCCAGACUCCUACGGGAGGCAGCAGUGGGGAAUUUUGGACAAUGGGGGCAACCCUGAUCCAGCCAUGCCGCGUGCGGGAAGAAGGCCUUCGGGUUGUAAACCGCUUUUGUCCGGAAAGAAAAGGCGCCUCCUAAUACGGGGCGUCCUUGACGGUACCGGAAGAAUAAGCACCGGCUAACUACGUGCCAGCAGCCGCGGUAAUACGUAGGGUGCGAACGUUAAUCGGAAUUACUGGGCGUAAAGCGUGCGUAGGCGGUCCGCAAAGUCUGAUGUGAAAGCCCCGGGCUCAACCUGGGAACUGCAUUGGAAACUAACGGGCUCGAGUGUGGCAGAGGGGGGUGGAAUUCCACGUGUAGCAGUGAAAUGCGUAGAGAUGUGGAGGAACACCGAUGGCGAAGGCAGCCCCCUGGGCUAACACUGACGCUCAGGCACGAAAGCGUGGGGAGCAAACAGGAUUAGAUACCCUAGUAGUCC